AUCGAUUCUGAAGGGCACACUUCCUAAUUUUAAAAUGAGCUAAAAUUUCUAAAUUUAACUGACAGCGCUAAUUUUUGCUAUUCUGAAGGCAACGAUUUUAACGGCCAACUAAAUUUAAUAGGCUGAUUUGACGUCUUUAAAAUGAGUGUUCCCAUACUUAGGACAAAUACCAAAUGAUGGCAGCGAAAUAUAGAUAUCAUGGAAAUAUAGUCGUUAUUUUAUUUUUUAAAUCUUAAUUUACUUUAAAUACAUAAAAACAUGUUAAAAAUAUAUUUAAAAAUAUACUAAAUGCAUUUACAGCCUAUUAUUAUCGUGAAAAGCAUAACUAUUAGUGUUUCCAAUGUGACUCAUUAUAGGUAAUUUAGAAAUAAAUUACUGGCAACCCCAAAAAAAUACAUUGACUUUUUCAUUGUUUUCUUUCUCCGAUUGCCGGGAAAAAAUUCGAUGGUGAUAAAUACGAUACGAAAGAUCUUAAAUUAUCCGUGAUAGCUACUUGCUUACAAAGGUUUUCAUUACACAAGUUUUCCUAUAAGAUGCAAACAUAACCUUAAAACAUCAGCCAGCAAGUUAUAUGAAACACAACACCUGCAUCAACAAGUAUGAAAGGAUCCAGUCGCAUUCCCGUUCAGACUAUCUAAGUUACCUAAACAGAAG